rnacentral:rRNA from 1 species
UACGGAGGGUGCAAGCGUUAUCCGGAUUCACUGGGCGUAAAGCGCGCGCAGGCGGUCAUCUACGUCUGGGGUGAAAGCCCGGAGCUCAACUCCGGGAUUGCCUUGGAUACGGGAUGACUUGAGGAUCGGAGAGGCAAGGGGAAUUCCACGUGUAGCGGUGAAAUGCGUAGAGAUGUGGAGGAACACCUGUGGCGAAGGCGCCUUGCUGGCCGAUUUCUGACGCUGAGGCGCGAAAGCGUGGGGAGCAAACAGG